CCUCCGGAGCAUUCUAUCAAACGUGAGUAGCUUGUCCUUCGAGAUGGCAAAAACGAAUGCGAUGAACGAGGAA
rnacentral:ncRNA from 1 species